AAAGUCGUAACAAGGUUUCCGUAGGUGAACCUGCGGAAGGAUCAUUACCGAGCUCAUGCCCGCGAGGGUAGACCUCCCACCCGUGCCUACCCUAGAACCCGUUGCUUUGGCGGGCCGCCUCGCGAGAGCCGCGGGGCCCACGCCUCGCGCGUGCCCGCCAGAGGACCCCCCAACCCGUGUCAUUGUGUGGUCUGAGUCGCAUUGGAAUACGUUAAAACUUUCAACAACGGAUCUCUUGGUUCUG
rnacentral:misc_RNA from 1 species